rnacentral:miRNA from 1 species
CAUAAAAGCUCAGUGUCAAACU